rnacentral:rRNA from 1 species
GAGUUUGAUCUUGGCUCAGAUUGAACGCCGGCGGCAUGCCUUACACAUGCAAGUCGAACGGCAGCACGGGAGCUUGCUCCUGGUGGCGAGUGGCGAACGGGUGAGUAAUGCAUCGGAACGUAUCCUGGAGUGGGGGAUAACGUAGCGAAAGUUACGCUAAUACCGCAUAUUCUGUGAGCAGGAAAGCGGGGGACCUUCGGGCCUCGCGCUCUUGGAGCGGCCGAUGUCGGAUUAGCUAGUUGGUGAGGUAAAGGCUCACCAAGGCGACGAUCCGUAGCAGGUCUGAGAGGAUGAUCUGCCUCACUGGAACUGAGACACGGUCCAGACUCCUACGGGAGGCAGCAGUGGGGAAUUUUGGACAAUGGGGGCAACCCUGAUCCAGCCAUGCCGCGUGAGUGAAGAAGGCCUCGGUUGUAAG